rnacentral:rRNA from 1 species
AUUGAACGCUGGCGGAAUGCUUUACACAUGCAAGUCGAACGAUGAACCUUAGCUUGCUAAGGGGAUUAGUGGCGAACGGGUGAGUAAUGUAUCGGAACGUAUUCAAUAAUGGGGGAUAACUAGUCGAAAGAUUAGCUAAUACCGAAUACGUCCUACGGGAGAAAGCUAGGGACCUUCGGGCCUGGCGUUAAUGGAGCGGCCGAUAUCUGAUUAGCUAGUUGGUGGGGUAAAGGCGCACCAAGGCGACGGUCAGUAGCUGGUCUGAGAGGACGACCAGCCACACUGGAACUGAGACACGGUCCAGACUCCUACGGGAGGCAGCAGAGGGGAAUUUUGGACAAUGGGCGAAAGCCUGAUCCAGCCAUUCCGCGUGAGUGAAGAAGGCCUUCGGGUUGUAAAGCUCUUUCGCAAGGGAAGAAAACUUAAGCUCUAACAUAGCUUGAGGUUGACGGUACCUUGAUAAGAAGCACCGGCUAACUACGUGCCAGCAGCCGCUGUAA